CUUAUUCCUUUGACCAUGCAUUUGGAGCUACCUAGAUUAUGCCUGCCGGGCCUGGUGCAUGAAAUCUUUUCCAAGUCCUCCCUUUUGCUUCAUGAUGAUGCAGAAGGUGACUCUUCAGAGCACUCGGCGGUGGUUGGAACAGCUUGUUCUGCCCUUGGAUCUCCCAUAUGAGUUCUGCAUCUCCCGUGGCUUGGUCUUCUGGUGCUCCUCCAGCACUGCACAAGUGCCUGGCCUUGGCUUGGUCACCCUGCCCCAGCUCACCUGUGUCUCGUGUCCCUGCCUGCCCCAGAACACCUUGCACGGCAGCUCGAUCUGCUGCUCAGAUGGCUCCCUCCUUAUUUCCUUUGAUAUUUAACAGAAAAUAAUUCAGCAGUGAGCUUUAUUUGAGCAGCAGGAUAGAUUAAAAAAUGAAAUAUGUUUAGCAAGAUUUGGGGGAAAGGCUGGAGUAAUUAAUUUUCAAUAAUACCUGGCAUUUCUAGAACUCCUUUCAUCCCGAGAUCACCAAACAGUUUACAGACAUUAAUUAAUUAAAGCAUUAUGAUGCCCCAGUGUGGGGCCAUUGCCUGCAUGUCUGACUCAGACAAACUCUCCCCAGAUCCCUGGACAGGCGAAUGCUGUGCACUGCAGUGUCUGCACCAGGGCUAUACCCAGGAGUAAAUACUGCUCAGCUUUCCUAAGGUUUGCACUCUGUGGCCCUAUGUAAAUAUUUUCCAGUGAGUUUGAUUAUUUGUCUUUUAUUCUCUGUCAGGAAAGCCCCAAAUAUCUCAGUAAUAACAUUUCCAGUGUAUGUGAGCAGGAGGGCAGUUCUGAUGGUUAUUUUUUGAUUCAGCUUCCCAUUAAAACAUCUCUGCUCUUGAAACUCCCGUUGCAGGCUUGGAGCUGGACAUGUAUUUUAAAGUUUGAUUUUGGAGUAAGUUUGCUGGGCAUUUUUGACAGCACAGUAAAUUCCAUGGAAAGAGAAGAGGUGCUCUGUGUUCACCCAGAGGGAUGCACGUAACAUCACACUCCUGGAAAUCACCCUGAAGUACAAGUUCAGUGAAAUCUUAUGAAAGCUAUAGAUUAUACAAACUUUCCUCACUCCAAUGAUUUGAUUCAUGAACGUGUAAAUAGAUAGAUAGAUAGAUCCAUCAAGGAAAUCCCAAGGGAACAAUGCAAUGGUGUUUGUGAUUGGAAAAAUAUUAUAAAAGAGCUCAAGUAGAGCCAAUAGUUAGGCGGUUUUGUAGCGCCGAGAUAAAUAGAGAAGAAAUGGCAUUUCAUGAUCAGAUCACAUUUUUAAAGGAUGUUGGAAAUUACCAAAGCAGGGGAAAUGGACGUCCUGCAGAGACGGCCUAUACUCAGGUGUGUUCCCUCAUGGU
rnacentral:lncRNA from 1 species